rnacentral:rRNA from 1 species
AUUGAACGCUGGCCGCAGGCCUAACACAUGCAAGUCGAGCGAGCGGCGGACGGGUGAGUAAUGUAUGGGGACUGCCCGAUAGCGGGGGAUAACUACUGGAAACGGUAGCUCAUACCGCAUACUAUCGGAUAACCCAUAUGGGAUUAGCUAGUAGGUGAGGUAAUGGCUCACCUAGGCGACGAUCCCUAGCUGGUCUGAGAGGAUGAUCAGCCACAGUGGGGAUGAGACACGGCCAAGACUCGUACGGAGAGAGCAGUGGGGAAUAUGGCACAAUGGGGGCGAGCCUGAUGCAGCCAUGCCGCGUGUAUGAAGAAGGCCCUAGGGUUGUAAAGUACUUGCAGUGGGGAGGCGUUAUCGACAGAAGAAGCACCGGCUAACUCCGUGCCAGCAGCCGCGGUAAUUC